UGGAUGAUGUGGUUUAAUUCGACGCAACGCGAAAACCUUACCUACCCUUGACAUGUCAAGAAUCUUGCAGAGAUGUGAGAGUGCUCGAAAGAGAACUUGAACACAGGUGCUGCAUGGCCGUCGUCAGCUCGUGUCGUGAGAUGUUGGGUUAAGUCCCGCAACGAGCGCAACCCUUGUCAUUAGUUGCUACGAAAGGGCACUCUAAUGAGACUGCCGGUGACAAACCGGAGGAAGGUGGGGAUGACGUCAGGUCCUCAUGGCCCUUAUGGGUAGGGCUACACACGUCAUACAAUGGCCGGUACAGAGGGCUGCCAACCCGCGAGGGGGAGCCAAUCCCAGAAAACCGGUCGUAGUCCGGAUCGCAGUCUGCAACUCGACUGCGUGAAGUCGGAAUCGCUAGUAAUCGCGGAUCAGCUUGCCGCGGUGAAUACGUUCCCGGGUCUU
rnacentral:rRNA from 1 species